UUGAGCAAGAUGGAGAAGCAGGGCACGUGCAUUACAAACUCAUCAUGCAAAACUUCAUUCAAAUUUCAACAAAACACCCUUUCUCAGGUUUGAUUCUUGUGCUAUGGUUACAUGGUUCAACCAAACCCUAAGUGGCUCAUGGUUCAACCUACCUGAGUGGUUUAACCGACAAAGAAGUAAGAUCUUUGAAUGCAAAUGAGUUGGUGGUUCAUGUGCCCAUCUUCCCCA
rnacentral:pre_miRNA from 1 species